CUCUGUAUACAAGCUAGCACUCGAGAAUGGUCCUGCGGCGCAUCAGCUAGUUGGUGGGGUAACGGCCUACCAAGGCGAAGACGCGUAGCUGGUCUGAGAGGAUGAUCAGCCACACUGGCACUGAAACACGGGCCAGACUCCUACGGGAGGCAGCAGUGGGGAAUAUUGGACAAUGGGCGCAAGCCUGAUCCAGCCACGCCGCGUGAGUGAUGAAGGCCUUCGGGUUGUAAAGCUCUGUGGGGAGGGACGAAAACGGCCAAGAAGAAACGCUUGGUCCUUGACGGUACCUCCUUAGCAAGCACCGGCUAACUCUGUGCCAGCAGCCGCGGUAAUACAGAGGGUGCGAACGUUGCUCGGAAUUACUGGGCGUAAAGCGCGUGUAGGCGGACCGCUAAGUCGGGCGUGAAAGCCCCAGGCUCAACCUGGGAACUGCGCUCGAAACUGGCGGUCUCGAGUAUCGGAGAGGGUGGCGGAAUUCCUGGUGUAGAGGUGAAAUUCGUAGAUAUCAGGAGGAACACCGGUGGCGAAGGCGGCCACCUGGACGAUUACUGACGCUGAGACGCGAAAGCGUGGGGAGCAAACAGGAUUAGAU
rnacentral:rRNA from 1 species